rnacentral:rRNA from 1 species
AUUGAACGCUGGCGGCAUGCCUUACACAUGCAAGUCGAACGGCAGCGGGGACUUCGGUCCGCCGGCGAGUGGCGAACGGGUGAGUAAUGUAUCGGAACGUACCAUUGAGUGGGGGAUAACGUAGCGAAAGUUACGCUAAUACCGCAUAUUCUCUCCGGAGGAAAGCAGGGGACCGCAAGGCCUUGCGCUCUUUGAGCGGCCGAUAUCAGAUUAGCUAGUUGGUGAGGUAAAGGCUCACCAAGGCGACGAUCUGUAGCGGGUCUGAGAGGAUGGUCCGCCACACUGGAACUGAGACACGGUCCAGAGUCCUACGGGAGGCAGCAGUGGGGAAUUUUGGACAAUGGGGGCAACCCUGAUCCAGCCAUGCCGCGUGAGUGAAGAAGGCCUUCGGGUUGUAAAGCUCUUUCGGCCGGGAAAAAAUCGCAUGGGCUAAUAUCCUGUGUGGAUGAUGGUACCGGAAUAAGAAGCACCGGCUAACUACGUGCCAGCCGCCGCGGUAACAC